rnacentral:rRNA from 1 species
GACGAACGCUGGCGGCGUGCUUAACACAUGCAAGUCGAACGGAAAGGCCCUGCUUUUGUGGGGUGCUCGAGUGGCGAACGGGUGAGUAACACGUGAGUAACCUGCCCUUGACUUUGGGAUAACUUCAGGAAACUGGGGCUAAUACCGGAUAGGAGCUCCUGCUGCAUGGUGGGGGUUGGAGAGUUUCGGCGGUUGGGGAUGGACUCGCGGCUUAUCCGCUUGUUGGUGGGGUAGUGGCUUACCAAGGCUUUGACGGGUAGCCGGCCUGAGAGGGUGACCGGCCACAUUGGGACUGAGAUACGGCCCAGACUCCUACGGGAGGCAGCAGUGGGGAAUAUUGCACAAUGGGCGGAAGCCUGAUGCAGCAACGCCGCGUGCGGGAUGACGGCCUUCGGGUUGUAAACCGCUUUCGCCUGUGACGAAGCGUGAGUGACGGUAAUGGGUAAAGAAGCACCGGCUAACUACGUG